UCUCCGUUGGUGAACCAGCGGAGGGAUCAUUACCGAGUUAUCAACUCCCAAACCCCUGUGAACAUACCCAACGUUGCUUCGGCGGGACCGCCCCGGCGCCCUCGGCGUCCCGGAACCAGGCGCCCGCCGGAGGACCCAAACUCUUGUUUAAACCAUAGUGGCAUAUUCUGAGUCUCACAAGAAAAAUGAAUCAAAACUUUCAACAACGGAUCUCUUGGCUCUGGCAUCGAUGAAGGACGCAGC
rnacentral:misc_RNA from 1 species